rnacentral:lncRNA from 1 species
UUAUGUGGGCGACAUGAAGCUUAAAAGUAUGGACGACCUCAUGCUCAUGUUCAUUAAUAGUGAUGAUGUCUUGUGACUUGUCGUAUGCUAGGAGCGGACGCAGAACCGACAAGUAGGAUGCAAGAUGUCCACAUGCUUAACGUCUCCCAAACGUAUGAUGGUAUACACAAUUCUUGAGCUAGCUGGCUCCCGUGCCACGAUCGUUCCGAAAUGGCUUGAAAAGUUGAAAGGGAGUCGAGCUAUACAUAAGGUGCGGCGUACAACACAACACAUGCCCGUUACCGUAUACGUUGACAUCUCAAACGUCUCAUCAUCAUUACGCAUUUCAUGUGCCGUAACUAGGGAUUAUCAUUGUGUGUUGUCGUAUGCUGGCUGGGUAUGUACGUCUACAAGAUGGGCAAGUAUGAUCCGAGAUUUCCACAAGCCUCCGCUUAAGGUCUCCAAAAAUUCCAGGCGCAUGAUGAUGAUAACAUAAUCACUGAGAUGAGCUGGUUGGCUCCCGUACGGACGGUGAGAAAUGAUAAAUGAUUUUGGAAAGUUGGGGACGUACGUGGACGCUCCGGGAGCCAAAGGUAAAGACAAGAAGCCUGCACCUGGCCGCAUGCACAUGCAGCGUCUGCAUGGAGAUAUAUAGCUCUUGGAUGCGUUGAUGUGUAUGUGACGGGCUGCGCACCGCCUCAAAUGCGUCUGCUAGCUUCAUGUUACUGAAGUUCACUACUCCUUAACUACUAAUUAAGUAGUCAGAGUGAACCAGAGUGAACCAGGAGUAGUCUAUCUUAACUACUAAUUAAGUACUUCAAUAAGAGGCAUAUCGAGAGAUUAUUCAAGCCAGAGUGAACCAGAGUGGCAGUACACCGUGGACACACACACACACAGGAUGGAUUCAAACACCCAUCCCUGCGAUGCAGGACUCGCUUGCUGCAACUGCACACAUCUAUGUGCCAAGUCGUCUACAACCCCGUUCGAUCAUGCAAAGGCAUUGAUGAUUCUCGGAGUGGAAGUGGUACAUGCGUAACGACGACGACGAUGUACAUUAUGCGCUUGGGGACACCGGUGUCGGCAGCAUCCAUGGCCCCAAGCUCACUGAACGGCCGCCGUAUACGCGUCCAACUCCUCCUCCAGUAUCCGGAGGAUUUGAUAUCCGGAGGCGCACGUUCUCAUUGUGGAAAUUGUGUGAUGGAUGAAUAUUGUGUUGUAUUGAUCUAACUCUUGUAGGGGUAUAUAUAGGAGUACAUGAGGGGUAGAGGCUUGGAGUACAAGACAAGUUACAUGUGGUUUAAACUAAUUCUAUCUCUAUCUCGUUAUCUCUAACUUAAACUCAUUUAUACUUCUAACAUUUCCCACCG